AAGAAUAAGUCAGACAUGAGAUCCAAACCCUGGAUUGGGAUUGUGAUCAAGAGAUGAGAAUAAUAAUAUUAUAUUAUUUAUAUAAUGAUUUUACAGUACCAUAAUUAUGUACUGGGUAUGUGCGGACAGAUAAUAUUGAGCAAUGACGGUCAAUUAGGUCAUAGCAUAUUACCGUGCUGUGAAACCCUAAUUAUUAAACUCAGUUAUGGGAUAUUUCUGAGUAGUGACUGUGUAUAUGAAGUUACUGUGAAUAAGAAUAUCGGUAAUUAGAAGAAACCCUAAUUACUGUUGUACGUCGAUAAUUAGGACAAACCCUAAUUAUUAUAACCCUAACCGAUUGAAAUUAGAAAUCGUAACGACUGUGUUAGUAACAUACACAAAUAAUUAAAGAACCACUAAUGGUCAAUUAGAAACCUUAAUUGAUGACGUUGAGAAACCCUAAUUUUAAUUACCAGGUUUAAUUUCGAUGUUACUGUAUAAGUGUUUUAAUUUACCAAAGGAUAGAAGUUAAUUGGUAAAUUAUAAGAAUUAAAUCUAGUGAUUAAAUAUUACAUUUAAUUGCCUUGUACAAGAUUGCCCAUACACUCUUAAACAAAGCCCAACCAUCACCCAUAACAAAUCAGAAGCAAGAAUCAAG
rnacentral:lncRNA from 1 species